rnacentral:tRNA from 11 species
CGUGGCCUAGUGUUAAGACACCAGGCUAAUAUCCUGAAGGUGCCUGAUUCGAACCCGGU